AUUGUAGCAUUCAUUAUUGCCUAAGCAGUGGAAACAAAACAAAAAACCACGAUAUGGGGACUGUUUAAGAAUAUUCUGACUCAUCCGUACGAUGACAAGCAAUCGUUAAAGAAUAAGAGAAUUUGGAAGUCCUGAAGAUGGUGGUACCAUGAGAUUUAAGGAGCCUAGGAACCUGAAUGACCAUGUGGAGCAGCAGAGCCUUGCCUUUCACCCUGGGAGCAAGUGAUGGGAUGUUUUGUUUUAGAGAGCUCCUAAGAUUUCUAGGAUAAUCAGUUAAAACUGCUAGAGUUAUCUUCCCUAACACAUAGACUUAGUGCCUAUUACUUCUAAUGUUACUUUCGUAUUAUAUGGAAAUUAUGUCUUUAUGCAUCUAUCUCUUCCAGUACAUUACUGGGGAAAUUUCACAAAGAGAGACACUUUUCCCCCUAACCUGUAUGUUGGUCAAGAGAGACACAUUUUUCUGAUCAAAGAUUGUGUUUGGUAUGCCAAGUGUUCAAUAAAUGUUUGUUGACCUAGAAACAUAUCAGUAGUAAAUACCAAUACUAAUAAUUAACAUGUAUUUGGUGCUUAUAUGAGAAAGGCACAGGCACUUACACUCAUUGCUUUAUAUAAUCCUCAUAAUUCACAAAUGUUACUUAAGUGCUUACCAUAUAUUGGUUUCUGUAGGAUGCAGUGGGUAUACAUUAGUGAACAAGACAGAUAAAAGUUCCUGUCUUCAUAAAGCAUAAAUAAUAGGUGAAAUGAUCAGAUAAAGAAGUGAGAAAAAAUUAGAAUAUUAGGUGCUGAAAAGCGCAUUGGAGAAACAUGAAGUAGAGUAGGAUGAAGGAGGCUGAUAAUGGUUGGGGCAUGUUGCUAUUCUAAACAUGCGGCAACAGAAGACCUCCUAAAAAAGACAGCAUUUGAACAGGCACUGAAGGUUAUGAGGUCGCAGACAGUGGCUGCCGGGGGAAGAGCAUUACAGCCAGAGAGAAUGGCAAGUUCAAAAGCUUGGAAGAAGAAAUGCGCUCACAGCAGCUGUACAAGGAAGAACCCAACAUUUGAUAGGCCUCUGGAUCUUGGAAGCAACAGACAUCACAUUUGAUUGCCUAUUCUGACUCAAUAACUGGAUAACUCACAAACCUAUCAUCUUCGAGUGGGCCCCUGAGCAAGCAAGAGGUCUUUAGCUUGUCUAAGCUACAGUGCAAGCAGCACUGACCUUAGCUUUUAGGAUCCAGCAUACCCAAAGAGCCCAAAACUGUCAUGGCUGGUCAGGAUGUUGUGUAAAGUCUACAGCAAGGCUCUACAGGAGAAUCACAGUUGAGAACCAUAAAAUUUUGGAGCAAAACUAUGUUCUCUUCAAGUAACUUUUCUUUUUCACUGAACACUUGAACAUGGCCCACCAGAGACCUGAGCUGUUCCCCAUGAACUGGAAGCUGUCUGAUCCACAAAGCAAAAUUUCAUAAUAUAUUGAGGAUUAUUCCAUCCUUAAGUGGAAGUGAUUUGCAGGAUGUCUCACUCCAGAAUGUUCUGAAAGCAAUGGUAAGUUGAAUAAACAGUGAAUAGCUCAUAUUCUGCUGCUCUUUUACCUCUCUCUUUCCAGCAACUAUGACCUGGUGGUGAGUUCCCUAUGACCAACUGACAGAGGAGGAAAAAACAGUCUAUCCUGGUUUAAAUACGCCCUCACAUCAGCUGAGGGUGACAAUUGCAACACCACAACCACACUUGGGAAUGCCUGGAGGAUUGUGACAAAGAUGGGUAUUCCCAGUGGUCCACUUUGCCUGGAAGAUGAGAUGUCCAGAGGUGAGGCUUUCCUCUGAUUCAUGAGCAGUGGCUAGUGUUUGGAGCUGUAUGGGCAGGAAUUUGGAAAGAAUACAACUGCAAGAUUAGGGAAGAAUUAUAUUGUUGGACCUCUUCAAAUGGAUCCAGAGUACGAGAAUAUUUGUGUCUUAUGAGAAUACUCACCCAAGGCCUUACUGAGGAAGAUCUCAGUAAUCAGGAGGCUGUGAUCACCUGCUCUGGCUGAAUGUCAGGCAGCCUCUUUUUCCAGUUACUCCAGCGAUUGCUCAAAGGGCUCACUAAUGAAGCGGCCUUGGUGGAAGGUGCAGAGUUUAUGGAAGGAUUCAGUAACAUAAGCAUGUACUCACCCAGGGCCACUCUGACCACUGCUAAGUGCCCAGUUGACAUACAUAGAGGCCAAACCUGAGCCUCUGAAGGAGAGUCAGAUCCUCAGGGGCCUGUGUACUCUGUGGUUGUGGAUUAUUUGCAUUGGAUCCUUUCCAUCAUGGAGAGGGCAAUGAUUUUCCUUAUUGAAAUAGUUGAUUCAUUCAUUCAAAAAUAUCGAUUAAACACAUGCUAUGUACCAGGCAGAGUUCUAGGUACUUGGGAUAUAUCAAUAAACAAAGAGAACAAAGUUUGUUGCCCUUAAGAAA